rnacentral:rRNA from 1 species
CCUACGGGCGGCAGCAGUGAGGAAUAUUGGUCAAUGGACGAGAGUCUGAACCAGCCAAGUAGCGUGAAGGAUGACUGCCCUAUGGGUUGUAAACUUCUUUUAUAAAGGAAUAAAACGAGGCACGUGUGCCUCUUUGCAUGUACUUUAUGAAUAAGGAUCGGCUAACUCCGUGCCAGCAGCCGCGGUAAUACGGAGGAUCCGAGCGUUAUCCGGAUUUAUUGGGUUUAAAGGGAGCGUAGAUGGGUUGUUAAGUCAGUUGUGAAAGGUUGCGGCUCAACCGUAAAAUUGCAAUUGAUACUGGCAGUCUUGAGUACAGUUGAGGUAGGCGGAAUUCGUGGUGUAGCGGUGAAAUGCUUAGAUAUCACGAAGAACCCCGAUUGCGAAGGCAGCUUACUAAACUGUGACUGACAUUGAUGCUCGAAGGUGUGGGUAUCAAACGGGAUUAGAUACCCUAGUAGUC